rnacentral:rRNA from 1 species
UACGGAGGAUCCGAGCGUUAUCCGGAUUUAUUGGGUUUAAAGGGUGCGCAGGCGGAAGAUUAAGUCGGCGGUGAAAUUUUGCAGCUCAACUGUAAAAGUGCCAUCGAUACUGGUUUUCUUGAGUGUGGAUGAAGUAGGCGGAAUUUGUGGUGUAGCGGUGAAAUGCAUAGAUAUCACGAGGAACUCCGAUUGCGCAGGCAGCUUACUAAACCACUACUGACGCUCAGGCACGAAGGCGUGGGGAUCAAACAGGAUUAGAUA